rnacentral:rRNA from 1 species
UACGUAGGGUGCAAGCGUUGUCCGGAAUCAUUGGGCGUAAAGCGCGUGUAGGCGGCUUGGUCAGUCAGCUGUGAAAGCCCAGGGCUCAACCCUGGGAUGCCGGUUGAUACUGCCAAGCUCGAGUCCGGAAGAGGAGUGUGGAAUUCCUGGUGUAGCGGUGAAAUGCGCAGAUAUCAGGAGGAACACCAAUGGCGAAGGCAGCACUCUGGGACGUGACUGACGCUGAGACGCGAAAGCGUGGGGAGCAAACAGG